rfam:Treponema pedis str. T A4, complete genome.
GUUUAUCUACAUGGGUUUGCCUUUCGGCAAACAUCACUUAUUAUUUGCGCUUUUUUGCUUUUGUGCAAAAGCGCUUAAAAAAACUUUUUUCGGAAACUGCAAUGUUCCGCAAAAAGUGUUUUUAGGA